rnacentral:rRNA from 1 species
CGUAACGCGUGGGAAUCUGCCCUUGGGUUCGGAAUAACAGCGAGAAAUUGCUGCUAAUACCGGAUGAUGACGUAAGUCCAAAGAUUUAUCGCCCAAGGAUGAGCCCGCGUCUGAUUAGCUAGUUGGUGAGGUAAAGGGCUCACCAAGGCUACGAUCAGUAGCUGGUCUGAGAGGAUGAUCAGCCACACUGGGACUGAGACACGGCCCAGACUCCUACGGGAGGCAGCAGUGGGGAAUCUUGCGCAAUGGGGGAAACCCUGACGCAGCCAUGCCGCGUGAAUGAUGAAGGUCUUAGGAUUGUAAAAUUCUUUCAGCGGGGACGAUAAUGACGGUACCCGCAGAAGAAGCUCCGGCUAACUUCGUG